rnacentral:rRNA from 1 species
CGGGUGAGUAACGCGUGGGAACCUGCCCUGUACAGGGGGAUAACACUUAGAAAUAGGUGCUAAUACCGCAUAAGCGCACAGCUUUGCAUGAAGCAGUGUGAAAAACUCCGGUGGUGUAAGAUGGACCCGCGUCUGAUUAGCUGGUUGGCAGGGUAAAGGCCUACCAAGGCGACGAUCAGUAGCCGGCCUGAGAGGGUGAACGGCCACAUUGGGACUGAGACACGGCCCAGACUCCUACGGAAGGCAGCAG